rnacentral:siRNA from 1 species
UGUGUUUUGUCGGCGAUUGAAC